rnacentral:rRNA from 1 species
UACGGAGGAUCCAAGCGUUAUCCGGAUUUAUUGGGUUUAAAGGGUGUGUAGGCGGCCUAUUAAGUCAGGGGGUGAAAGACGGUGGCUCAACCAUCGCAGUGCCCUUGAUACUGAUGGGCUUGAUUACACUUGAGGUAGGCGGAAUGUGACAAGUAGCGGUGAAAUGCGUAGAUAUGUCACAGAACACCAAUUGCGAAGGCAGCUUACUAAGGUGUCAAUGACGCUGAGGCACGAAAGCGUGGGGAUCAAA